rnacentral:rRNA from 1 species
UACAGAGGUCCCAAGCGUUGUUCGGAUUCAUUGGGCGUAAAGGGUGCGUAGGCGGCGCGGUAAGUCGGGUGUGAAAUCUCGGAGCUUAACUCCGAAACUGCAUUCGAUACUGCCGUGCUUGAGGACUGGAGAGGAGACUGGAAUUUACGGUGUAGCGGUGAAAUGCGCAGAUAUCAGGAGGAACACCGAUGGCGAAGGCAGGUCUCUGGGCAUUAACUGACGCUGAGGAGCGAAAGCAUGGGGAGCGAACAGG